rnacentral:rRNA from 1 species
GUGGGGAAUAUUGGACAAUGGGCGAAAGCCUGAUCCAGCAAUGCCGCGUGAGUGAUGAAGGCCUUAGGGUUGUAAAGCUCUUUUACCAGGGAUGAUAAUGACAGUACCUGGAGAAUAAGCUCCGGCUAACUCCGUGCCAGCAGCCGCGGUAAUACGGAGGGAGCUAGCGUUGUUCGGAAUUACUGGGCGUAAAGCGCACGUAGGCGGCCAUUCAAGUCAGAGGUGAAAGCCCGGGGCUCAACCCCGGAACUGCCUUUGAAACUAGAUGGCUUGAAUCUUGGAGAGGCGAGUGGAAUUCCGAGUGUAGAGGUGAAAUUCGUAGAUAUUCGGAAGAACACCAGUGGCGAAGGCGACUCGCUGGACAAGUAUUGACGCUGAGGUGCGAAAGCGUGGGGAGCAAACAGG